rnacentral:lncRNA from 1 species
UGCUCAUGCUCAUAACUGGGUUGAAGGCAAGCCUGGAGAUUUGGGACACUGCAGACAUAGCUGAUAUCAUUCUUUAUCAUAGGGAGCCUUUUCAGAAGAUUCUGGAAGGAAGUAGCCAUCCUAGGGCUAGGGAGAUUGUCUUCCCUGUGAAGCGUUUUCUCCAGACCUUUGUCCCUCCAAGUCCUCUUCUGCAGACAGCUCCCUUACUCAUGCUUCACAUGUCCCUCUGUACAGGGACAGGGCCCACGUGUGGGGCAGAGUCCUCUUUCCCUUGCUUCUGUCUUCUUCAAAUAUCAGUUCUUGGUGUAUACUUGAGAAUCUUUGGUGUAGAUUCAUUAAUAAAACUAUCUGCCACCAGC